rnacentral:rRNA from 1 species
UUACCAUGCAGUCGAACGGUGAACACGGAGCUUGCUCUGUGGGAUCAGUGGCGAACGGGUGAGUAACACGUGAGCAACCUGCCCCUGACUCUGGGAUAAGCGCUGGAAACGGCGUCUAAUACUGGAUAUGUGACGUGAUCGCAUGGUCUGCGUCUGGAAAGAAUUUCGGUUGGGGAUGGGCUCGCGGCCUAUCAGCUUGUUGGUGAGGUAAUGGCUCACCAAGGCGUCGACGGGUAGCCGGCCUGAGAGGGUGACCGGCCACACUGGGACUGAGACACGGCCCAGACUCCUACGGGAGGCAGCAGUGGGGAAUAUUGCACAAUGGGCGCAAGCCUGAUGCAGCAACGCCGCGUGAGGGAUGACGGCCUUCGGGUUGUAAACCUCUUUUAGCAGGGAAGAAGCGAAAGUGACGGUACCUGCAGAAAAAGCGCCGGCUAACUACGUGCCAGCAGCCGCGGUAAUACGUAGGGCGCAAGCGUUAUCCGGAAUUAUUGGGCGUAAAGAGCUCGUAGGCGGUUUGUCGCGUCUGCUGUGAAAUCCGGAGGCUCAACCUCCGGCCUGCAGUGGGUACGGGCAGACUAGAGUGCGGUAGGGGAGAUUGGAAUUCCUGGUGUAGCGGUGGAAUGCG